rnacentral:tRNA from 1 species
UGGUAAAUAGCUCAGUGGUAGAAUACUUGCCUGCAAAGCAGGAGUCCCUAGAUUCAAGUUCCAGCAUUGCAA